GCUGGCGCAGGGUGGGGGCGAGCGCGGGGCGGGGGGGCCGCGGGAGCCGCUCCCUCCUCGCCCAGCCCGGCCCGGCGGCGGGAGGAGGGCGCAGAGCGCAGACAUGGCGGCCAACAUGUACCGAGUGGGAGAUUAUGUUUAUUUUGAAAAUUCCUCCAGCAAUCCGUAUCUCAUUAGGCGAAUUGAAGAGCUUAACAAGACUGCUAAUGGGAAUGUGGAAGCGAAAGUGGUGUGCUUCUACAGGCGAAGAGAUAUUUCCAACAGCCUCAUAAUGCUUGCAGAUAAGCAUGCUAAAGAAGUUGAAGAAGAGUCUGAAACUACAAUUGAGGUUGACUUGACUGAUAAACAGAAACAUCAGCUGAAACACAGAGAGCUCUUCCUUUCUCGCCAGUAUGAGUCUCUUCCAGCAACUCACAUCAGGGGAAAAUGCAGUGUUGCACUUCUGAAUGAGACAGAAUCUGUGUUGUCAUAUCUGGAGAAAGAGGAUACUUUUUUUUAUUCAUUGGUGUAUGAUCCAUCACUGAAAACACUUUUAGCAGACAAAGGAGAAAUCAGAGUGGGGCCUAGAUAUCAAGCAGAUGUGCCUGACAUGCUUGCAGAAGGAGAAUUAGAUGACAGAGAACAGGCAAAGCUGGAAGUAAAAAUAUGGGAUCCAGAUAGCCCCCUUACAGACCGUCAGAUUGACCAGUUUUUAGUAGUAGCACGUGCGGUUGGCACGUUUGCUCGGGCGCUGGACUGUAGUAGCUCUGUCAGGCAACCUAGUUUACACAUGAGUGCAGCUGCUGCUUCCCGAGACAUCACACUGUUUCAUGCAAUGGAUACAUUGCAUAAACAUAACUAUGAUUUGAGCAGUGCCAUCAGUGUUCUAGUGCCACUUGGAGGACCUGUCUUGUGUAGAGAUGAAAUGGAAGAAUGGUCAGCAUCAGAAGCUAGUUUAUUUGAAGAGGCAUUGGAAAAAUAUGGAAAGGACUUCAACGAUAUUCGACAAGACUUUCUCCCUUGGAAGUCGCUGACUAGUAUCAUUGAAUAUUACUACAUGUGGAAAACUACUGACAGAUAUGUGCAGCAGAAACGUCUGAAAGCAGCUGAAGCAGAAAGUAAAUUGAAACAAGUAUACAUCCCCACCUACAAUAAACCAAAUCCCAAUCAAAUAUCCAGCAACAAUGGGAAACCUGCUACAGUCAAUGGAGCAAUGGGAGCCUCUUACCAGGCACAGGCCUCACUAAUAGGGCGGGCUUGUGAAAGUUGCUAUACUUCACAAUCUCACCAGUGGUACUCUUGGGGUCCUCCUAAUAUGCAAUGUAGAUUGUGUGCAUCUUGCUGGAUUUAUUGGAAGAAAUAUGGUGGCCUGAAAAUGCCCACACAAACAGAUGAAGAUAAACUCUCUUCCAGCCAACCUGCGGAGGAAUCCCAUGUUAGAACUCAUAUGUCCCGGCAGGCCACACAGGGAACUCCAGUUCGUAACACUGGAAGUCCAAAGUCAGCAGUGAAAACACGCCAAGCUUUCUUUCUUCACACAACGUGCUGGACAAAACUUGCCCGUCAGGUCUGCAAAAAUACCCUUCGGCUGCGGCAGGCAGCAAGACGUCCCUUUGUUCCUAUUAACUGUGCUGCCAUUAAGGCAGAAUAUGCAGAUCGGCAUUAUGAAAUUGCUGGAAGUCCUCUGAAGAUCAAAAGCACCAGAAAACCAUUGUCAUGUAUCAUUGGGUAUUUAGAGAUUCAUCCUGCAGUGAAACCCAAUGUAAUCCGAUCAACACCAACCCUUCAAAGUGCAAGUGCAAAACGACUGCUUGCGCCCUCCAAUCACUCUUCACUAAGUAUUUUGGGAAAAAGGAACUACAGCCAUCAUAAUGGUCUUGAUGAAUCAUCCAGCCACACAACAAGAACAAUAAUGCAUGCUGCUCCCCGUGUUCAUAUAACUAAUGGUAAGGCCUUGCAAGCCAGUGCGAGUGCCAUUAAGACAAGCGCCAUUCCAGUGAUCAAGAGGCAGAGACAAAAUUGGCUUGAUGCUUCAGAUGAUGGUUUCUUUAUAGCCACUGAAGAGACCAGCGCUGAAGCAGUUAGAAACCUUCUCACGCUUCAGUCAGAUGCCUAACCUGUGUCCUCAUGAUGCAGCUUAUGAGCUGAUAUCCUGUUUUCCUCUUGGUUUACAAAGAAAACUCAGUGUCAAGGGAACUGAAGACUGGGAUGUGCUGGACUAAUAUAAAUUUAUCUGAAGCCAAGAAUGCCCCUGGUUUGGCUCUGGAAAGAGUACUAAGCAGCCAAGGACAUCUGGAUGGUCAAAUGCAACCCAGUACGGUCUUCUGUGGAGCCUGUUCCCUGCUUCUGCGAUGUCACUACUGACACCACAGGAGGCCUCAAGGACUCCCAGAGCAGUGAGGAACUGCAUAGAGGAAGAGCCAUGCUGAGCCACAGAAGAUCUGAUUUUAUGGUGUCCAGGAGACCAUGGGAGCCUUCAGAUGCCUCUGUUGGGCACUUCUGAAUCAAAUGUUCAGAAGUCCACUUUCUGCCUGUUCAGUGCUGUUUCACUCAACUUGCAAAGCAGACCUGAAGACACUGCAAAAUCAAGACUUCUGUGACCUCUUCUCAGGAGUCCCUCCUGACCUCAGGGCUCUGCAGUGCACCUCUCCAUAUGCUUCCUCUUGGCUUCACACAGAAGCUGCUGCACUUUUUCCCUGGACAAGAAUGAUGGUUUCUCAAGGAGAGUCCAGAAGUCAUCUUUGGAGGCUGGAUGCAGUCUCUCUUUAAGGAUCUCUCUGCCAUUGAAUCAGCAUCCACACAGCCCUGUUCCUCUGCUGCUGCCUGUCAGAUGAAGGUUCUAAGGUGGCGACCUUCAGACAUGAUCUGACUGUGCUGUGUAGCAUUGCCAUGGCCUCUACAUACACCAGAUCCCCACCCUUCUAGCAGUGUCCUGCAGUGCCACAGGAAGAGCUGUUACUGUGACACAUCUGAGCCCUUACAGCACCAGGACUUCUUAAGUAACAGAUCAUGCUCUGCAGGCUAGCAGGUUCAGAUCACUCCCUUUCAAGGCAGGGCAGAGAUCCCUGUCUUUCAAUGCCCUAUGUGCUAAGCUUCCUCGCUUCCAGCAGUGCGGAGAGGACAGAGAUUGAUAAGGAUUUUGGUGGAUCCUCUCUGCGACUUUAAAACACCUUGGCUUGGUUGGGAGUACUGCUGCCCAAGGCCAUUUGUAAGUGUGGGCCAAAAGAUGUGGAUGACCGUCAGGAGCAGGGAUCCAGCAGAUGCUAUAUGCAACAAAAGUGCAGAGAGGGGCUGGAAGCUUACUGCAAGUUACCACUGCCAAGGAGGGUGCAAAGAUGGGCAGCUUGCUCCUGGAUACUAAGCUUAUUCGUGUGUGAAAGGUGCGGUAAGGAUGCCUUUUUUCACUGAAGGAAGCUGAAGUGAGUGUUGAUGGAAAUGCUGCUGAUGAAAGCGUGUAUUAAAAAUGAAAAUAGACAAGAGAAUGCUAAGUACAAAGAAGACGACACUUGGAUUUGAUGGCUGACCAUGAAUGGCUGCAUACAGGAGAGAGAACAGUCGGACUAGAUAAGGCUACAUAACGAAGAGAAAUGGUCCCUUGGAUAAGCGAACUGACCGAGAACAAGAAAGUGGAGCUCUCCUACAGUAUAAGUAAAAUGCUAAAUCAGAAAAUUCACGGCUUCCCUUGAUCACUCUGAUCCAGUUCCUCUGAAAACUGGGCUUUAUAUUCAUAACUCUCUAGUGAAGUGGUGGGACUGUUCUGAAUGAAAAGUAGAUGCUCUAUGAAAUGUUUUGAAUCUCAUAUACUUGGUGAAACUGCUCUGCUAUUGAAGGUAUAAGAGCAAAACUAAUCAGUUGGUUUGUAUCAGAGAUCAUUUCUUAUGUAUAUCAGAGGAGUUAAAAAUAUAUAUAAAAAAAAAAAGAUAAAAUCAGAGAACAGCUCUCUACUAAGAAUACUUCUAACAGCAACGUGUCUAGGGAGGAAAAAAAAGCAGAUCUUCAAAAAGUCUUUGAAAGGUCAAUGAAAGCCAUUUCUUUGCCUGGUCAGACCCAGGGAUAUUCCUACAAGGCUUGUGGAUCCAGUAUUUGUAUCUGAACAUGGCUGUCUGAUGGGCCAGAAGAAGCACAUGACCUUGCAUGAGGUCUUAUUUGCCAAUUGUUGGUGGCCGUACCCACUGGUGGAAUAAUGGAUACCUGUCCUGAAUAUACCUGUUCCUGAACAUUGCUGAAACUUCAAUCUGUAGUGAUACUUCAAAGACAAGUAAUAAGACACAGAACACAAUUUAUGUCUGUAUUUCUAUUUUUGACACAGGCUCAGACGCACAUAAAAAACCUCUAACAAACUUAUAGCAAAACAUGUAUGAUAUAGUAUGAGUAAAAUAAAACCCGGUUAUUACAAAGGUGAGCUGCACUCUACCUACCACAAUGCAUCUUGAACAAAUAAAGAUUUACAUUUUCCCCCACCUUUAGACAGCUAGCUGGCAAAUAAAAUCCUGUUCAAGAAAGAAUGUCAAAAGAACAGGCUAGACAUGUUGAGAGCAGUGUUUGUUUAAACUGACAUAUAUGCUGCGUGCCUAGCCGAAGUACUGAAAGCAAAAAUCUAGCUUAUGAAAUACACUUAAGAUGAGGGUUUCGUUGUAGAAAUGAAGAGCCAUUAUCUUAGUGAUGAAGUCUACUUUUGUCCCUAGAGAAACAGAAAAACUAGUCAGCCAACUUCAUAUGGGUUUGGGUUGCCGACCCUUUGAUCAGGUGUUGACAGAAACUAGGAAAAGUAGGAGGAACAGGCUUACUUUGUUUUAAUAUUAUGUUCUGCCAAAGCUAUUUUGAAACUAAGUUGGAAAUUUCCUUGCAACACCAUAUGUGAUAACAAAAGUGACCUUAUAGACAAAAUAUUUCACUUGCUGCUUCAGGAACACAAACUUCUGUUAGUAUAGUUCAGCAUAAAACACAACAGAAAGACUGGAUAUCACACUCUGCUAAGCUGCAUGGGGACAUGAAAACUCAAAGACAGUCAUCCAUCACCAGCAUACAGUACUACAGACACCUUGUAUACAAUUUCUAGUGCUAUUCCUUACUUUGUUCUUCUUCAGUUUUAUGUGGUCUUCCAGAAAAGAACUAAAGCAACAGAAUUGGCUCUUAUAGCAAGUGUAAUAGAGGCUAUUGUGAGGGCAGUACUAUUAAUGAGAAAGCAUUGAACACUUUUUAGGAAGUUAUUCUAUAUGUGCAGGGAGUAUCUUCACUACAGCUUUACUGGGUGACCACUGUUUCUUUUCUCCAAGAACACUGUACUGAAGUUAGUUGUCUGAGACAGCUGGAUCAGUUUCCCUCAGCUAGCACAGUCCAGUGUGGCAGGAGCAGGACAUACUGCUCCUUCCCUUUCCUAUCCAUACUGUAGCUGCAUCAGUCCCUGAUAAAGACGACAGAUUUUAGAUAAUAGUAGACCUGGCAAUGGCAAAACCUUGUUGCUUCCCUGUGAAGAUUAGUUUGAUGAUCUCAAGCUAUUCCUUAAAAUAGCAGCUACACAGUACAGAGUGAUACCUAACUGGUCAGCUGAAGGGCAGAGCCUAGGAUGUUUGUGACUGUACAGAAUGAUUUAUCUAUUAACCCUACCUUCACAGUGGAUGACACUAAAACACACUGGAAAAAGCAGCGUGAGAAAGCCUGUUGGUUUGGUACUGGUUCUAUGGCUGAACAGAAGUACCAGUGUCAAUGUUACAUCCAGAGGGGGAAAAAAAAAAAAAAAGUUAAAACUCUAGUUAAUAAAGGGCACUGAUGUCGGAGUCAGCUAACUCUGGUCAAGCAAUAAACUUGGAAGACUUUUCCCCCAAGGGCUUCCAUUUUUGUCUCUAAAACAAAGGAAAGUGAAAUGAAAACAAGAACUCCAGACUAUAUAGCAGAGCAUUAUGUGACUAAGCCAGCUGUUGUUCUGAUACUGUAUUUCUGUAGUUCAGACUCUUCUGACAGAAUGAAAAGCCUAACUAAGCCCAUAGAGCUGUUACUUUUGAUAACUUCUCAGGGCACUAUACACUAGUGCAAUAUUCAUUAGCCCUGUGAACCUAGACACAUAUGAUAGGGAGUGCAAGUGGCCAACAAUAUGUAGUGUUUGAAAAAAAAAACAUUCACUAUUUACUUACUUCUUCUAGCAAAAAGGAAUAGUAGGAGUAGUUUGACUAAUUCUAUUGUUUAAAUACUCAUUCAGUAGAUGAUUAGUUAUGUUGAACACUUCCAAAAACUGCUGCAAAUUAUUUACCAGAGAUUCCAGCUUCAGCAAAGAUGCCCUUCAGCCUUGUGAACUUACAGCUAUUCAUGCACUGAAGUUGUAAUGAAAGCCAAGCAAAUAUCUAACAGGGCUGGGUUGAGGUAGUGGUGGUGGAGAGGUUCAUAUUAAAAUUCAAUACUGUACCAAAUACAGUGAUAGAGACUAAACAAGUGGAAAGCCUUCCCUCUCCUGCACUCAUUUAGCAAACACAUGGAAAUAAUUGUUGGCCCAGAUACACACAUCCAUAAUUCCCAUUGUGCUCCAAAAGCCAGCAUACCAGCCCUGCGCACCCGUACUGAGUCCUCCGAGUAUUGGAAUGCAAAUCUGCAAAACCAAGCGUCAGGACUUGCGUAGCCACUAUUCUCACAAUAAAGCUAUAUUAUAAAUCAGAACAAGGCUCCAUGAACCAGGUCAUCUGCCAUAGAGUCUACAGGAGUUCGUCAGCACGGGAUAGGCUUGUUUGAAGUGAAGCAGCUCUUCUGUAUUUAAAACAAUUUAUUUACUAGUCAUGUUUGACCAAGCUUGAUUUUAAUACAGUAAGUUAAAUUAAGGAGAAGAGAUGCUUGUCCAAAGAAGUGCAGGCAACUCAAAAUAUUAAAAAACAUGUUGUUGAUAUUUUGAUGGAAAUAGGUUUUUAGAAGUUCCUAGACAUUUCAGAGAAAAUGAUGUGUUGCUUUUAACUAACUCAUAGAACAACCAGAGCCAAGAUUUUUCCUCUGCAUCAUGGAACUGAAGAGGGGUCAAAACUACGUGCGUCAUGAAGAAGUUGUUUCUCUCCCAGACUGCUUGAUGUGACAAAUACAAAGUAGGUGUCAGGGCCAACGUACAGAAACAGUGAUGGUUGGCUCCUGCCAGAAGCAUACUGCCUAGCCCUGCUCUCCCACCAUGCAUGGAUCACAGCAGGCAGCAGCUCUCCAUCCUCAUCCCCAAUGAUGUUGCCUCCUCACCAUGACCCUGCAUUAACUUCUCUGUCAGCAACGUGGACAGAGAAAGCCAUAAUAUCAUAAGAGAGAGGAGAUGCGCUUAGUUGGCAUAAAACGCCAUGGGUCUGAAUUCAUUUCUUUUGUCUAAGACGAGCAAGAUAGAUUGUUUUGUUAUUUAGACUCAAAACCAAACAUUUAGCAGACUAAGGUUAAAUUUUACUUUGCAGCAUUGAAGAUUACUGCUUGAUGCUCUUACGUCCUCAACACCAAAAUACAUUGCUGCAAGACAGCACUUGCCUAACCUCAUCAAAUGAAAAGUGACUGUAAAGCUCAGUACUUUCACACUCAGCAGAGUCUCUUGAACUGGGACUCCACUCACACUGGCAAGACAGGUGACACUUGAGACAACACAAGAGAAAUAAUCCAUAGAAACAGAAGAUUUGUAUUCUGAACUAGACCCCUACAUGCUUAUUUUAAAAAGAAAUUUUUUUUAAAAGGAAGAAAAAAUGUGUAAUUGUCAUGCACUUAGGUCUUCAUCCCUGCAGGUAUUUUCCUGUUUUGGGAUAAAGAAAGAAGAAUCAACAAAAUGGCUUUUCUAAAUUUAGACUAAUUACUGAAGUUGUUGCAUAAGCUACAUAGACUCACACAGUGUGCAGUUGAAUAAUGUCAGUGGAGGAAUAAAAAUAACAAUUUUUCACAGAAACAGAAAAUUAUUUCUAGAUUAAUAGGGAAAUAAUCAAUUCAGGAACUGGAGUUCUACUCUCACCAUCAUUUUUCAUAUCAUGCCCUUUCAGAUGAUAUGUUCAAAACUGGAAUAGGUCAGUUAGCACCACAUGUAUAGAUACAUAUAUGUAUCACAAAAUACGGAAUCUUAAAAUGACCUCACUGAACUGGGUAUAUGCAGGAAUAUAAAAAUAUCAUUGGAUGCUUUUAAUCACAAAAACAACACAGGAAAUUAAUACUGUAAGGUUUUACCAUCCUAUCUGACAAAAGGAGAAACAGAUGUCACAAUGAACUCUUUUGGUAACCUUAUAGUAUUAAGACUGUUUUCACUGAGUAAUGAGAUGCAAAAACUUAGGGCAAAAGCAGGGUGCAAUUGCUUGAAUUGAAAAGUAAAAGAUGAGAAAAAUCGCAGUUCAGCCCUCAGUUUCUUCCUCAUUUCCUAAAUGAAAUAGUCUGCAAGUCUAAUUUUAUACACCACCGGUAUAACAAAGGGAACAUCAACCCUGGAGUACCACUUUCAUCUUGGCAUUGCCCACUCUGUCUCUCCCAUACUCAGGCAGCACAGUUAAUCCACAGAGGACAUUGAAAAGACCAAUACUGUCACCUAAAUCUUCUCUGUCUCAGGGACAAGCUCGACUUGAGCACAGUAAUACUGUACUGGCAGCAACAAUGUACAACACCUGUGCUGGAGAGACUGCAGUGUAAGGAAUUGCUGCAUUCCCCUCUCACCACAGCUUCCUUCCAUUUUUUAGAGUCUAAGGUGUGAAUAUCAACCUGCUAUUUCAGCUGUAUGUUUUUGCAGCUAUACAGUUGUCUUUUACCACCAAUUUCAUUUGGAGAUGACUGCCAGAAUCUUGGUUGUGACCACACUUCCAAGGUGUCAUGUCCUUUCAAGACUCAGUCUUGAUUCCUAUGUAGGCUACAAGCUAUGCCCAAUUCUGGGUCAUUGCUUACUUUGCCAGAUAUCACAAACUUUUAAGGAGCAAGAUGGGUUUAAUGAUGUAAACAGCUAUUAGUAAGUAGUUUCCUAUCCCCAGCCCCCAAUCUGCAGAACAAUGAUCACUGAAUCACGGUGUAAGUUAACUUUAAUAAACAGACAGGAGAAAAAAAAAAGAGAGAGAGAAAAAUAAAAGAACUUACUGGUUUCAGAGAGGUUAUAUCUCAACAGCAGAGUACUGUCACCAGUGAAGGAAGAAAACACAUAAAUGUUUUUUGCAGUUUAAAAUAAUUAUCUUCUAGGUGAAUAUUAGGUAUUCAUUAGUGUCUUUCUGUUUAGCCUAUCCUAACAUCUAUUCUUCAGUUAUCCUGUUACCAAAUUAAGAAAGAGAGAGAGUCAGAAAGAAAGAGAGAUCUUCCCUUUAAUUUGCUUUGCACUCUGAUAGCUGAAGCAAGAAAAAAUCUUUCUGGCUCUAUUGAAUGAAUGGUCAAAGGUACCUUUGCGGUUCCUUCGCAGGGUGAACUAAUCUGUGACAACUGUAGCUAAUCUGAUAAGAAGGCCCGCAUGUGUGCUAAUGUGCUAAUAUGAGGGGAUUCAGGACAGGCAGCGGUAGUGAAAACCCACUGCUUCCUAAAAGGACCCUCCUAUGCAAUAGCCUCGGCAACAUAUGCGCAUUUUAACACCCGCUUAACACCGAAACAAUGCGGUGGCCUUUGUUGUGUGACACAGAGGAGCGAUUCCCAUGGUGGGAAUUUCUGCCUCACAGGCAACAUUCUUUCAGAAGUGAUACAACGGGCUGGUGGCCUGGACCAGGAGCUGGGCCGGGUCGGCCUGGCUGCACGGUUACAUGUACGAAACAAGAGGCCUUUACUUGCUCGAUGGCUGAGAAAACGUGGGGAUGGGGGAGAGAGAGGAUGGAGGGAAGAACUGGUGUAAACGUGUUGGGCCAGGUCUCUAGCCAGGAUAAAAUCAGCUUCUAGACUAUGGUGCUCUCUAUAAGAGCUUUAAUCAGAUUGACACCAGUGUGUAAUCUUGUGCUGUACUUUAUUCUAUAUAUUGUCCUUUAUUUUAUAUAUUUGUAUGUGUUCCACAGGAAAGAUAAAUCACAGCUUCUUGCUCCAGUGGUUGUCAUAAUGUACUUUCAGGAAAAUUCGUCUGAGAGAUAGGCAACUUAAUUUUAGUUUAGAUCAUACAAUAGGGAAGAAGACUUCAUGGAUGUUGAAUCUUAAGGAAACAGACUAUCAUGACACCUCCUGGGCAAACAUUAAUCAGGGUUGGGCUGCAUCUUUUGGACACAAAUGUUCCCUGCAGACUGCUGUGGAUCGUGGUCAGUUCACCAUGUUCCCUUGUCUCCAGGUGUCCCACAGUGUACUGCAAUGGGGCUAUGAAAGUGUGAUCCUCUCAGUAGGAAUUUUUAAAAUUAAAUCUGAUAAAGAGCAUUCAUACAGAACUGGAGACUGGUACUCACCUGAAAAAAUAAAUGUUUACUAACCAAUUCUUAUCAUUGGAGAACAAAAACUUAAAAUGGUGCUUUUAUUCUCUUGGUGCCCAGCAGCACUUUUUCUGUAUGUCAGAAAAGCACAGUUACUGUGAGCUUGACAAAAGGAUAUGGACAACGGACACAGACUAAAAUACAGAAGAUUCCAUGUAAAUAUAAGAAAAAAUCUUUUUUACUUCGAGAGUAACCAAACACUGGCACAGGUUGCCCGGAGAUGUGGCAUCACCAACCCUUUGGAAAUUGUCAAAACUCAGCUGGUCGGCAUCUUCAGCAACCUGCACUAGCUGACCCUGCCCUAUCAGGUGGGUGGAUGAGGAGAUCUGCAGAAGUCUCUUCCAACCUCAGCCCUUCUCUGAAUGUGUUACUCCAAAAGCUCAGUGAAUUCCCCACCCACAAGUUGGGCACUGGCAACACGAUAACAAUGGCAAAAGGAAAGCAUUUCAGUAUGGAACUAUUUGUAUCUUCCUAUGAGAAAAAGAGAAAACUCAGGGAACACUUAACUCACACAUACGGUGUUAGAAAAGUGCUUGCUUAUCCAGAGCACUUCAGAUCCAGAGCCAUUCAGUCCAAAACAUGGAUCAGACUUAGCCAAGUGUUUCCAUAAGAGCAUGACCCUGGUUUUACAGCUGCAGAUUGAUUUUCAGCCUUCUGUUUAAACAUAUUCCCACAUCAGCCAUAGAGCACUAGCAGCGAUGACAAAAGGCGUGGGAUUCAUCAAAUACUGAGUAGCAUCUUGAGCACCUAUAAAACAAUAUUAUUUGAGCUACUCAAGGCUUGUUUGAUUUUACCCAGUUCUCUGAAAGUCUUAGUGUGCAAGAACUGUUGUAAAUGUUUCCAAAUAUGUGAAUAGAUAAAUCGUAUUUAUUCCUUUGCACUUUGUUGCAUUCGGGGAUACUAUUUUAUGUUUGAGUUUUGAAUGCAUAACAAUUGACUCCUACUAAAUGGUGACGACAUUUCCUCUCACAGGAAGUCCUGAGGGAAGGAAGGUCCCGCAUAAACAAACUUCCACUUAGUACAAUAGAGUGGCCCAUAAAUGUGACCAUUUUUUCAGUGUAUGGGUGAGGCUGACACUCUCUUCCUGCUCAUGCAGACCAGGGCUUAUCGCAGUCCUGCUUCCCUGUAAUUUAAAUGUUUGCAUAGAAUCUAGUUCAUUUGUAUUUUCCCCCACAAAGUGCAGAUGUAUCCCAUUUUCCUGUUGCUGUGGAACAUGGUGACAAUUUCCAACAGUGUUACAUAAAUGACCAUCUGUGGUUAAAAAAAAAAUGCUGAUGCACAAGAUUGCAGUGUGAGAAUUUUAGCUAGCUAGCAAAAUUUAUGCUAUUAAUACUUCUGACACUUCCUGACAAUAAAGGAAAAAUGUGGUGUUCCCUCCAUUUCAGCAUACUGUAAAUAUAUGAUAGAUGGCCAUCACUGGUGUGUGCAGGAUGAGACCUCCAUAGAAAAGCAAAAUAAAACCUAGCUGCCUAUGCCUAGUUUUCCUUAUGUUUUCUGUGAGAGUAAAGGCAGACUAAAUUACUGAAAGUCAUUUUACUGAUUGUGAGAGCAUACAAAUAAACAAGAAUACCAACA